rnacentral:tmRNA from 1 species
GGGCUUGUACUGGUUUCGACAGGCCGGCUGAAGACGGUGAAGCUAUCCGUGGACUGUGACCACGUUAAAACACAGACAUAAAAUUAAACGCUGAUAAUAAUAAAUUAGCAUACGCUGCCUAAUUAUGGCGGCUGCCGGAUGUAAGCGUCCUACAACUUAGAUUCGGUAUCAUCCUUUGUAGGGAACCUUAUCUGUUAAGUUUUGCGCAGAUAAGAGAUCUUAUGAAACUACCGAUUUUAGGUGGCUGUCUGUUUCCGCCUGAAUGAGGGAAGGGCUUUUCGUUUGAAAAGCGCAAUAACAGACUAUGAUAGUAGAAGAACGUGGGAUUCCGGUUUGGACGCGGGUUCGACUCCCGCCAGGUCCACU